UACGGGGGGGGCAAGCGUUGUUCGGAAUUACUGGGCGUAAAGGGCGCGUAGGCGGCCUUCUAAGUCAGACGUGAAAUCCCCAGGCUUAACUUGGGAACUGCGUCUGAUACUGGAAGGCUUGAGUGCGGGAGAGGGAUGUGGAAUUCCAGGUGUAGCGGUGAAAUGCGUAGAUAUCUGGAGGAACACCGGUGGCGAAGGCGGCAUCCUGGACCGACACUGACGCUGAGGCGCGAAAGCCAGGGGAGCAAACGGG
rnacentral:rRNA from 1 species